GACGAACGCUGGCGGCGUGCUUAACACAUGCAAGUCGAACGGAAAGGCCCUGCUUUUGUGGGGUGCUCGAGUGGCGAACGGGUGAGUAACACGUGAGUAACCUGCCCUUGACUUUGGGAUAACUUCAGGAAACUGGGGCUAAUACCGGAUAGGAGCUCCUGCUGCAUGGUGGGGGUUGGAAAGUUUCGGCGGUUGGGGAUGGACUCGCGGCUUAUCAGCUUGUUGGUGGGGUAGUGGCUUACCAAGGCUUUGACGGGUAGCCGGCCUGAGAGGGUGACCGGCCACAUUGGGACUGAGAUACGGCGCAGACUCCUACGGGAGGCAGCAGUGGGGAGUAUUGCACAAUGGGCGGAAGCCUGUUGCAGCAACGCCGCGUGCGGGAUGACGGCCUUCGGGUUGUGAACCGCUUUCGCCUGUGACGAAGAGUGAGUGACGGUAAUGGGUAAGGAAGCACCGGCUAACUACGUG
rnacentral:rRNA from 1 species